rnacentral:rRNA from 2 species
AUAAAUUGAGAGUUUGAUCCUGGCUCAGGACGAACGCUGGCGGCGUGCCUAAUACAUGCAAGUCGAACGAGAAUUUCUUACACCGAGUGCUUGCACUCACCGUAAGAAAUUCGAGUGGCGGACGGGUGAGUAACACGUGGGUAACCUGCCUAAAAGAAGGGGAUAACAUUUGGAAACAAAUGCUAAUACCGUAUAACCAUGAUGACCGCAUGGUCAUUAUGUAAAAGGUGGUUUUGCUAUCGCUUUUGGAUGGACCCGCGGCGUAUUAACUAGUUGGUAGGGUAACGGCCUACCAAGGUGAUGAUACGUAGCCGAGUGGAGAGACUGAUCGGCCACAAUGGGACUGAGUCUCGGGCCAUACUCCUACGGGAGGC